GCGGCACCUGGGCGACGUUGCGCGCGCCGAUGCGGUCGAACUCCGCGCGGGCGAACUCGGUGGUGCACACCACCGUGUCGUA
rnacentral:tRNA from 1 species